AUAAGUUGAAGCUUACAGAAGAUUUGGAAGUUGUUGACCCGUUUAAGGUCAAGGUGGUCUCUAUGGAUGGAUCUUCUUCUUCUGAUUAUUUUAUUUUUGUUUGUUUUUGUUUGCUUUAUUUGUUGUGUGUUUUAUCUUUGUAACUUAGAUUUCUUUUUUAUAAAAAGUUCUUUAUUUAUUUUCUUCAUUUAACUUUUUUUUUGGUUUUCAUACUGACUGAUUUUGAAGCAUAAAU
rnacentral:lncRNA from 1 species